UACGGAGGGUGCAAGCGUUAAUCGGAAUUACUGGGCGUAAAGCGCACGCAGGCGGUUUGUUAAGUCAGAUGUGAAAUCCCCGGGCUCAACCUGGGAACUGCAUUUGAAACUGGCAAGCUAGAGUCUCGUAGAGGGGGGUAGAAUUCCAGGUGUAGCGGUGAAAUGCGUAGAGAUCUGGAGGAAUACCGGUGGCGAAGGCGGCCCCCUGGACGAAGACUGACGCUCAGGUGCGAAAGCGUGGGGAGCAAACAGGAUUAGAUACCCUGGUAGUCCACGCUGUAAACGAUGUCGAUUUGGAGGUUGUGCCCUUGAGGCGUGGCUUCCGGAGCUAACGCGUUAAAUCGACCGCCUGGGGAGUACGGCCGCAAGGUUAAA
rnacentral:rRNA from 1 species